ensembl:lncRNA
GUACCAGAAAGCCCUACAGAUAGAUAAUACUUACCUUAUAUGGAUGCUGUGAGAACUAAAUGAGAUAAUGGAUGUAAAAUUUUUGGCACUGUGCCCAACACUUACUAAGUGCUCAAUAAAUAGUAACUAAGUAUUGUGACUCAGUCUGGCAGGUCUCUGGUAGUCUGUGACAUAACUGCAAGUCCUCAGCUCCUCCCUUUCUCACCACCCACCCCCAAACCUGCUAACCUUUCCUGAAUGGCCUCAGUGACCUGCCUCUCCCUCCAGGGCUCUGCAGGUUUGGCCGGCCCACCAGGGAACAGGGUUCUGGCCGGGUUUAGGACACCGUGGCUUUCAGUUUGGCGAGGGCCCCAGAUAUGCCAGGGCCCAGCUGGCAAGUCCUUCCUGCUCCAAGGUUCUGAAGGUCCCAGCGGCCGGCCCUGCCCUCCAGUCUCCUCCCUCGGACCCGAGGCAGAUGGAAAUCAGAAUGCAGUGGAUCUUCAGGGUCCAGCCGCAGCAGGCCCAGAAGCCCCCAUGAUAGCCCAGGCCCCUCUGACCUCACCCCUUCUCUCUGGGCAGGUCCCAGCAGCAGAGACAGGAAUCGCCGGACCCCGGGGCCUCCGGGAGCCACGUGUGCCAGCGCAGCGCCUGCCAGCUCCCAGGCUGACCUCACAAUGGCUCCUUUCACCAGGAGAGGAGCUGGCCCGGCCCGGAGCCUGCGGGGGGAUGUCCCAGGCCCCAGGGCGUGGGGUGGGAGGUUGGAAACUGGGGAAUGGGCUGCUGAGGCUGGGAGAGCUGAAGGAUCUCAGCGCCACAUCCACCACCCGAUGUCAAGGGACUGCUUCAGGCGUAGUCUUAUGACCCAAACCAGUCCAGGGAGUUCCAUUUCCAGAUCCUGUGUUUAAACAUUUGGAGAAAUGAAUGUUUCCUCCUACUGGGCUUGGAACUGGGAGAGUGUCAGCCUGGAGCUGCCCGAAUUUGGAAAGGGCCUGCUCCAGAGUGAAGCCAACACAGGGAAAAGCAGAGAGAUGGAGGACCAAAUCCUGAUGGCAUCAUUUGAAAUCCUAGAUCCAGCUGUACCUGAAGCAGAUAAACUAAAUUUUGCAGUUUCUUGAGUCAAUCAAUUUGCUUUUCAUUUAAGCCUCUCGAGAUUGUGUUUUCUGUCUCUUGAACCCAGGAGUUCUGACCACUACAGAGGUCCUCCCUCCUCUGGCCUCAAACCACCUCUGCGGUCCCACCUGCCUUGCUCUGCCUUGCCACUCCCCCAAACGCCUGUCCUCAGCCUGAAACGUCUGUCUCCCUUCGCUCUAAAACCCCACCCAUCCGUCCGGGAGCUCACGGCCCUUCACAUGGGACAAGAGGCCGCUUCGGAGUUGGACAGACUCGAGUGCAAGUCCUGGCUGUUCCGUGCGGCACUUGAGUCACGUGCAGCAGGUCACAGAACUUCCUUGAGCCUCAGUUUCCUUAAAAUGGCAAACGCACGGUGCUUACUAUGUGCUAGGUAUUGUUCUAAGUGCUUUACGAGUCCCGGCAGUCUAGUUCUUUCAUCUCCCCCGGGGGACGGAGGCCCUGCUGUUACCCUCAUUCCAGCAAGGGGGAAACUGAGGCCUGGAGAGGAGGCGCUGGGGUGGGACUCAGACGCCGGCUCCAGUGUCAGGGCUCUCAACACCCGACGGUCUUGCCCCUCGCAAAAUGGGGGUGAUACUAGGACCUUCUUCGUAAG